AGAACGAACGCUGGCGGCAGGCUUAACACAUGCAAGUCGAGCGCCCCCGCAAGGGGAGCGGCAGACGGGUGAGUAACGCGUGGGAACAUACCCUCCGGUUCGGAAUAGCUCAGGGAAACUUGGAUUAAUACCGGAUACGGCCUAGCGGCGAAAGAUUGAUCGCCGGAGGAUUGGCCCGCGUCUGAUUAGCUAGUUGGUGGGGUAAUGGCCCACCAAGGCGACGAUCAGUAGCUGGUCUGAGAGGAUGAUCAGCCACAUUGGGACUGAGACACGGCCCAAACUCCUACGGGAGGCAGCAGUGGGGAAUAUGGACAAUGGGCGCAAGCCUGAUCCAGCCAUGCCGCGUGAGUGAUGACGGCCUUAGGGUUGUAAAGCUCUUUCGCUAGGGACGAUAAUGACGGUACCUAGACAAGAACGCCCCGGCUAACUCGUGCCAGCAGCCGC
rnacentral:rRNA from 1 species